UACGGGGGGGGUAAGCGUUGUUCGGAAUUACUGAGCGUAAAGGGCUCGUAGGCGGCCAACUAAGUCAGACGUGAAAUCCCUCAGCUUAACUGGGGAACUGCGUCUGAUACUGGAUGGCUUGGAUUUGGGAGAGGAAUGCGGAAUUCCAGGUGUAGCGGUGAAAUGCGUAGAUAUCUGGAGGAACACCGGUGGCGAAGGCGGCAUUCUGGACCAAUAUUGACGCUGAGGAGCGAAAGCCAGGGGAGCAAACGGG
rnacentral:rRNA from 1 species